UCCUGCUUAGCUCAGUGGUAGAGCGCGUCACUAGUAGGACAUGACGCGGUCAGCCGUUCGAGUCGGCUAGUAGGAA